rnacentral:tRNA from 1 species
AAAAUCCGUCGACUUUAGAAAUCGCGAGGGUUCAAGUCCCUCUAUCGCCA